rnacentral:rRNA from 1 species
AGACGUCUACAUUAGAUACCCCCGUAGUCCCAGCCGUAAACUAUGCGCGUUAGGUGUAUCGGUGACCACGAGUUACCGAGGUGCCGAAGGGAAACCGUGAAACGUGCCGCCUGGGAAGUACGGUCGCAAGGCUGAAACUUAAAGGAAUUGGCGGGGAGCACCACAACAGGUGGAGCCUGCGGUUUAAUUGUACUCAACGCCGGAAAUCUCACCGGAUAAGACAGCAGAAUGAUUGCCGGGCUGAAGACUCUGCAUGACUAGCUG